AUGCCACAGCAGGAUCCAAGAGAAACUCCAAUGCCACAACAGGUUAGCCCAAGAUCAAAGAGCGAUGUCCCCAUGGACGUUGUAUCAUCCCACAGCAGUGGCACCGGCCCAAUCGUGCAUCAUGAAUUGCCAACUGCUGAUGCUCUAGAGGCUAAACUAGUGGUAGAAAGAGAUUCUGCUUCUGCACUUAGAGAUGAAGUUGACAUGUUGAGGAAGCAAACAACACAAUCACAAGAAGUACUCAAGACAAUCAUUAAAUAUUUCGUGGAUUUCAAAAUGAAGCAAGCUGAGACCUACCGCAUUGUUAAGGUCCUGAAGGAAAAAAGGAAAUUAAAUUCCCACUUGGUAAUUCUAGGUGAAAUGUUCUUUCCAUCGUUGAAUAACCUUUGUGUUGUUUGUUCAUGUAAUCAAUCAAACCAUUUGUUUUAG
rnacentral:rRNA from 1 species